rnacentral:rRNA from 1 species
AGAGAGAGACAUGCGCGCAUAUCAAUAAGCGGAGGAAAAGAAACUAACAAGGAUUCCCUUAGUAACGGCGAGUGAAGCGGGAAGAGCUCAAAUUUGAAAUCUUCAAGGUUUUACCUUGACGAAUUGUAGUUUAAGGAAGUGUUUUCUGCUGAAGUUUUGGUAAAAGUUCUUUGGAAUAGGACAUCAUAGAGGGUGAGAAUCCCGUAUUUGACCAUUAUUUUCCAGCUUUGUGAUACACUUUCAAAGAGUCGGAUUGUUUGGGAAUGCAGUCCAAAAUGGGUGGUAAAUUUCAUCUAAAGCUAAAUAUUGGCGAGAGACCGAUAGCGAACAAGUACCGUGAGGGAAAGAUGAAAAGAACUUUGAAAAGAGAGUUAAACAGUACGUGAAAUUGUCAAAAGGGAAGCGUUUGACACCAGUGUUGUUUUCUCGAAAAUCAAUUAAAAAUGGCUCGAUUUUGUAUUGUUGAGACCUUAAAAGCUCACUGUACAUUUUUCGUGUCUUUUUUAAUGCACUUUUCGUUUAACAAGUCAACAUCAGUUUCUUUUGUUGUAAAAGGGUCAUUGGAAGGUGGCUUUCUUUUCGGAGAAAGUGUUUAUAGCCUUUGGCCUCUGCAAUCGGAGAGACUGAGGUCUGCAGCGUAGACUCUUCGGGGUUAGAUACAUUUGUGCUAAGUUAUAGCUUUUUAUAGACAACUUGUUGACUAUAAUUAGUCUUGUAGCUUACUCGCUUAUGCUAUUUUACCUACGCUUAGGAUGUUGAGUCGUAGAGCACGCAG